UAAAUGAUUUAUGCUCUAGGAUCAUGAGGUUAAAAAGGCAAAAGCUUUAAUGUUCACUUAUGCGAGAAUGUCAAGUCACUGGUCUAGAUAAAGAGUUUGACAAUAAUAAGAUUUUAAAAGUGGAUAUUUUCUGUUAGCAUUGUCUGCCAUAAUAAAUAGAGGUCAUAAAGCUUUGAUCUAAACAUAUUCAGUGGGGAUUAAUACUGCAAGCAGAUCAUUCAUCUGAACUUUGAGAAUGUACUUACAAGCCAAUUUAGUAAAUGAAUAAUGGCAUAAAGACUAUUUGUGAGUCUCAGAGAAAUGUAUACCUCUUCCAAGAUCUCUGAUUUUUUUUUUUAAUUUCACUCUAAUUCUUUUUCCAGUACAUAAUGUUUUAUUUCAAAUUUUGAUAAAACCAUGUCUUCUUUAGGGUCAAAUUUUAUAAUCACUUAUAUUAACUACAAUGACAAAUAGUUCCACCACAACCAGUAAUAAUAAUUGCAAGAUAAUAAUUGUCCUUCAGAACCUCUAACUCCUGUAUCCUCAGAAUGUUGCUGAGAAAAGUGAAAUAUAAAUUGUAAAUAAAUUUGCUUUUAAGAUAGAUAACUUUGAAUUUGAGUGAAUUGCUUAUUUAAAGUUCGUUUAUCUUCUAGGAAUCCACCUGUAUAGAGAUUGUUUGACUACAAUAUAUGAUAAAUAAUCCAACUCAUUGAAACAUGUCAAUUCAAAGGACAAGUCGAGUUUGUUUCACUGGCUACUGACAUUGCUGAUUCCUGUGAAUCAAGUAAUGAUCUCCUGCAGCUCAGAAGAAACAAACUGGGAUAGAAUCUGGUGGAGGCAAACCAGUAUUACAACCCAUCAGAAUGGCUGACAGCAAUCAAACUCCAAAUGGUACUGCAGACAGAACCAUGCAUGGACAUGCCUUUCUUCUGAGGACCCUUAGAUCUACCCCAGGAGGACGCCUAGCUGCUGUUCCACAUAUGACUCCCCUUUUCAGCAGGAAGUGGCCAGAAAGAGUCAUAGUCCAACAUCCCCUAACAGCAGUUAGGAUUACCACUCCUGAGGGAGAAGUUAUAUAGAAUUUAAAAAGAAAUUAUUUAGGCAGAUAGUGAGGGUAAGGAAGUCCUCAGUAAGGCUUUUAUUUUCAUAAAAAGGAGGCCCCAAACCAUUUCUUUUCUAACAGAAAGCAGCCUGGAAAGUCAAGCUGCAAGCAUAGGUAAGGAAGCUGGAAGCUUGCAUAGAUGAAUGCCGACAGCUAUACGAAAAGCUCCAGGUACACCCAACAUGGUGACUUCCCCUCCUUUCUCUUUGCUAGCCACAUGUACAGUAAGGAGCAGACAAGAUGGUGCUGGCCAAGUGGAAAGCCUCUUUGCAUAAUAAGAUUAGGAUGGGGCAACCCGCCUUACCUGCGUACUAUGUAAAUAUCACACCUCGUCAAACCAAUCUGUGGGCCUUAUGUAAAUCAGACACCACCUCCUAAAGCCUGGCUAUAAAAUACGCCAUGGUCCACCACAGGCCAACUUUUUCCUUUCAGAUGGCUCUCUCUUGCCAGAGAGAGAGAGCUGCUCACCUCUCUCCUUUCUUCUGCCUAUUAAUCUUUUUGGUCCUUAACCCACCCACAUGUGUCCGUGUCCUUAAUCAUCAUGGCAUGAGACAAUAAACCCUGGGUAUUUGCCCCAGACAAAAAUGCCACUUCACUGUCACACAAAAAAAUCUCCCAUAUGCAAUAUUUCUCUUUAUUCUUUUUUAUGGAGACAUUGUUGGUCUUCAACAAAGAUAGUUGAGUUAUAAUGGAAGGUGCCAGUAUCUCUGAGUCACUUCUUGUAGCAAUCCUGCCUACAAGGAACAUUGGAUUUUCAUUAAUUCGUACUAAACUGUUUAUGUGUCAUUAAACUGUGGUUUUGGCACUAUUUGUUGAUACAGAUAGCAAGAGUGGCAGGAGGCAGACAAAUGCCUAGGCAGAUAGGGGUGGGUCCCUGGUGAAACCCCACCUCCAGAUCAAAGAAAUUUAAACAUGACAGCCAAACUAUAAGUUAAAUCCUUGGCAGACUGUGAACUUGUCUUCCCAUUUGGUGGGCUUUCCUCUGCUUAAUCCCCACCCUUCACCAACUUUAUAUAUACCUACCCUUUCCUAAAUGGUUUUCUACACUGUUGUGCCCACCUUUUAGUGGUGUCUUCACUUUAAACUUUUUUGCAUACUCACAAACCAAUCAGCAUGCACUCCCCAUUCUGAGUCCAUAAAAGACCUGGACCCAGCCACAUGGGGGACUUUUCAGCCUUCUGGUAGGGGGACAACCCCCACAUCCCCUCUCUGCUGAAAGCUGUUUCAUCACUCAAUAAAGUUCUUCUCUGCCC
ensembl:lncRNA novel transcript